UACGUAGGGGGCAAGCGUUGUCCGGAAUCAUUGGGCGUAAAGCGCGCGUAGGCGGCUAGAUCAGUCUGCUGUAAAAGUCAAAGGCUCAACCUUUGAAAGCCGGUGGAUACUGUCUAGCUAGAGUCCGGAAGAGGCGAGUGGAAUUCCUGGUGUAGCGGUGGAAUGCGCAGAUAUCAGGAGGAACACCAACGGCGAAGGCAGCUCGCUGGGACGGUACUGACGCUAAGGCGCGAAAAGCGUGGGGAGCGAACAGG
rnacentral:rRNA from 1 species